rnacentral:rRNA from 1 species
UGGGGAAUAUUGCACAAUGGGCGCAAGCCUGAUGCAGCCAUGCCGCGUGUGUGAAGAAGGCCUUCGGGUUGUAAAGCACUUUCAGCGAGGAGGAAGGUGGUGAACUUAAUACGUUCAUCAAUUGACGUUACUCGCAGAAGAAGCACCGGCUAACUCCGUGCCAGCAGCCGCGGUAAUACGGAGGGUGCAAGCGUUAAUCGGAAUUACUGGGCGUAAAGCGCACGCAGGCGGUUUGUUAAGUCAGAUGUGAAAUCCCCGGGCUCAACCUGGGAACUGCAUUUGAAACUGGCAAGCUAGAGUCUCGUAGAGGGGGGUAGAAUUCCAGGUGUAGCGGUGAAAUGCGUAGAGAUCUGGAGGAAUACCGGUGGCGAAGGCGGCCCCCUGGACGAAGACUGACGCUCAGGUGCGAAAGCGUGGGGAGCAAACAGAUUAGAUACCCUGGUAGUCCACGCUGUAAAACGAUGUCGA